rnacentral:sRNA from 1 species
UCCUAGCCCUGAUGGGAGCGGCAUCCUUUUGUGGCAGGGUUUGCCACAAAAGAUACAGUCGGACAGCAGGAAACAGC